rnacentral:lncRNA from 1 species
CCUUGAGAUGGGGAGGGAAGUAGCACAUCUCACUCCUACUCAGGAAUUAUUAUUCAUGCAAGAAUCACUCAUCAGCUAUCCUGGUAGCCCUCCCUAAUUCCAUUAACCCCCUCAACCACUGGGAGGACUUUUCUCUGGGGUAUAAAUUAAUGUAAAAUGGAUCCUGGACCAGAGAAAUUCCUAGAGCGCCAGCAAGAAACAAAUGCAAAGUUCUCCAUGGCAAGACUACCACAAUUUCCACCUUCCCAGGAGGGAAUAAAACCUGGUAAGAAUCAAGCUGUCUCGCACAUCGCAGACACAGAGAAAUAGAAUCUGCCAUUGAACAUGGGGAGCACAGAGGGGGCCUUCUCCAGUUGAGUCUCUGGUGAGAUCCCACACCUGCCUGCCUUUUGCGCCUCUGCAGAGGACAUAGCUUUGCUAUGCCAGGACUCCUGAAUCACAAAAACUGUGAGGUAAUAAAAGUGUGUUUUUUUUAAGCCACUACAUUUUUAAUGUUCAGCUUUCAACUGCUUUUGUAGUUUUAGGUACUUUAGGUGCACAUGGCUUUUGUAUGGCCCAAUGAACUAACCUGACAGUUACUUCCCC